rnacentral:hammerhead_ribozyme from 1 species
AUCCAGCUGAUGAGUUCCAAAUAGGACGAAGCGCGUCCUGGAU